UAGUCCACGCCGUAAACGAUGGACACUAGUUGUUGGAAUUAUUCAGUGACUAAGCGAAAGUGAUAAGUGUCCCACCUGGGGAGUACGAUCGCAAGAUUGAAACUCAAAGGAAUUGACGGGGGCCCGCACAAGCGGUGGAGCAUGUGGUUUAAUUCGAUGAUACGCGAGGAACCUUACCAGGGCUUAAAUGUAGAGUGACAGGACUAGAGAUAGUUUUUUCUUCGGACACUUUACAAGGUGCUGCAUGGUUGUCGUCAGCUCGUGCCGUGAGGUGUCAGGUUAAGUCCUAUAACGAGCGCAACCCUUGUCGUUAGUUGCCAGCAUUUCAAGAUGGGGACUCUAACGAGACUGCCGGUGCAAACCGCGAGGAAGGUGGGGAUGACGUCAAAUCAUCACGGCCCUUACGUCCUGGGGCUACACACGUGCUACAAUGGUAUGGACAGAGAGCAGCCACUAUGCGAAUAGGAGCGAAUCUACAAACCAUAUCACAGUUCGGAUC
rnacentral:rRNA from 1 species